UGUGGGCGUGGCGGUGCUGG
rnacentral:miRNA from 1 species